GGAUGUGAGGGUGAUCUGGUGUGACACCUGUCACCCACUGAUCAUCAGGGUUGACUCUGUUGAUCUGGCUGACUGGGUAGGUGUUCUCUUCCUCCCUCACUGCUCCAUGUGUGUCCCUCUGGGAUCUUUGUGCUUGGUCAAAGAGGAUGACCACCCCCCACAGAGGAAGACUGUUCUUUGGUCAAGGGUAUAUGAGUCGCUGUGCUCCCCUGCUAGAACUCCAAACAAGCUCUCGAAGGUCCCAAGAAAAGCAAAAAGAUAACUUGCAGGCGGGAGAAUAAUUUUGCAAAUCACAUUUCUGACAAGGGAUUUGUUACCAGAAUAUAUAAAGAACUCU
rnacentral:snRNA from 1 species